rnacentral:rRNA from 1 species
CAACCUGAGAGUUUGAUCCUAGCCUCAGAGCGAACGCUGGCGGCAGGCCUAACACAUGCAAGUCGAACGGAUCCUUCGGGAUUAGUGGCGGACGGGUGAGUAACACGUGGGAAACGUGCCCUUUGGUUCGGAACAACUCAGGGAAACUUGAGCUAAUACCGGAUGUGCCCUUCGGGGGAAAGAUUUAUCGCCAUUGAGCGGCCCGCGUCUGAUUAGCUAGUUGGUGGAGGUAAAGGCUCACCAAGGCGACGGUC